rnacentral:rRNA from 1 species
CCUANGGGAGGCUGCAGUAGGGAAUAUUGCGCAAUGGACGAAAGUCUGACGCAGCAACGCCGCGUGUGGGAUGAAGUUCCUUGGAGUGUAAACCACUGUCGGGGGGGGCGAACGAUCAUAAUACGAAUAGGAUUAUGGUUUGACGGUACCCCUAAAGGAAGCUCCGGCUAACUCCGUGCCAGCAGCCGCGGUAAUACGGGGGGAGCAAGCGUUGUUCGGAAUCACUGGGCGUAAAGGGUGCGCAGGCGGGAGAUUAAGUCGGAUGUGAAACCCUCAAGCUUAACUUGAGGCCUGCAUUCGAAACUGGUCUUCUUGAGUAUCGGAGAGGAAAGCGGAACUCCAGGUGUAGCGGUGAAAUGCGUAGAUAUCUGGAGGAACACCUGUGGCGAAGGCGGCUUUCUGGCUGAAUACUGACGCUCAUGCACGAAGGCUAGGGGAGCAAACAGGAUUAGAUACCCCANUANUC